rnacentral:miRNA from 1 species
CUCACGGAUCAAUGAAUGCAA